CACAAGGACAACCUCCAGUGUUGAUUCUCAUCUUCCACCUUGAGACAGGUUCUCUUUGUUGUUUUUUUCUCUGCUGAACCACAAGCUUCCAAGGAGUCCUUUGUCUCCACUUCCUAUCAUGCUGCAAGGGUGCUGUGAGUACAGAUUCACACUACUGUGUCUGGCUUUAUGAAGGAUCUGAGGAUCCUCAGGUUUGCAUGGCAAACACUUUACCCACUGAGUUAUCUCUUAAACCCCAAGAGUGAGUUGAAAAAGAGAAAAAUAUAAUGACUUAAUUUUGAUUAGCCUAUUACUAGCUUUCAAAAUUCAUUCUAUUUUUAUCUUCUUAUUACUAUGAUGUGAGCUAGUGAGUUGCCAUUACAGUGUCUGCUUUCUGAGGGGGAACCCAGUGCUCAGAGAAUUAGAAUUUGAUCAUAAAGAUUUGAUCUUUAUGUAUUAAUCAUCUAGAGGGGCAGCCUAAAACCAUCUGAGUCUUUUAAUCCUGUGAAAUUCUGGUUUUUUACCCACCACUAAUAUAUUAGCGAUCAUUACCACUUUUAAAAAAAUCAAUAUGGAUAAUUGAGUUAUUAUAAAAUUUAAGAAACAAGUUAGGGAAAAAAAGUAGUCUGAGAUUUGAUUGUUAGACUCAGAAGCUGUCAAAUGUCCUUAGAAGAGAGCUGAAAGAUUUCCUAAAUUACAGUCUUCAGUGUGUUCAUUGCUCUGGGUGGGACUACAUUCUGAGUAUUGUUCAACCCAUCAAGACAAAUCUCUAAGAGGAUCAGCAUCAUCAAGAAUGCACACCAACCAAGUUGCCAUGUUUACACACAUACUUUCUUUUCUCUGGCCCUCUACCCAGCUUAUUGAACCAGGGCCACAGUGUGGCUAGUAACCUGUGAACUUGUUAAUUACGCUUUAAAACUCGAGCUGGGUAUAUUAUUGUUUGUCUCUGGAUUUAGAUUUAACACAUGAAGAAAGGAUUUUCUAUAGCAUACCAAGGCACAUCAGAGGCAUCGGGACCUCAGAGUGACCUGUGAAAGCUAGGCAGUGUCAGGACAAAAAGAGGAAUAUGUGCAGUAGUGCUGAGUCAUGUUAAUAAGAGAUCAGUAGCUUACAGAACUGCUGACUCUGCAGAGGUGCAUGAAGCUGCCAUCGCUCUAUAAUUACCUUGACUCCAAUAGCCCUUAGCCCCAGGCAUGAAACAGCAUUUUCUUUGACUGUUGUAAGAUAUAGACCCCAUACUUCUUGCAGUGUACUUAUAUAUCCUGGUUGGCAUAAAUGGGCCUCUAAAUUAUUAAGAAACUUAGCUUAACCAAGACUUCAUCCCAGGCUUUUUACAUUUUAUCAAAGAAGCUUAUUCCAGAACUAACAGAUGCCACUGAGGAAGACAAAUUACACAUUUCGACAGUGAUAUUUCAAACAGAAUUGGUCUGAGGUAGUGGCAAACUCUAUAUGCUUCUAAAAUUCUGUCUCUUAUCUACAUAUCUAGUUUUCUGUUUCUUUGUUUCCAAAUUCCUCCCCUCAAAGAUUGAUUACAGCAUUUUCUGUAAUUCGUUACAGUCUGCUUUUGCUUAAGGAGACAAUCUCUGGAAAUUUAUACCAAAUUACUCCAGUAAUGGAUGUGCUCUCGUAAUUCACCUGUCUUCUGCAUAUUCACUGAUUUGUGAAACUUUUUAGAACCAAACCUCACUCUUUAAUGGAGCAGACAUGCGCUGUUAGCUGUGCUAACCGGCACACGUAACAUGUGACAGUGGUUUCUGGAAUCCCCCCAGAAACAAAAGGUGCAAGUAGGAGAUUGUGUGUGCUGUGGUUUAUAGCACAUGAUUAUUGCCUUGAUGGUUCAUUGUCUUUCGAAAUGUAACUGUUCCUGUUGUUUUUAACUCAUAAGCUACAGUAAAAUGCACAUUUUCUUUGUGGGCAAAAAGUAACAUUUAGCACAAAAGUCAAAACAUAGCUUCUUUUAAAAAAAAAAAUCUCCAAUUAAUUCUGAAUUUUAAGUGACUACUAAAUUAAACGUUUCCUGUCACAUGUUAACAAUAUGGGGCCUUCGAUUGAAAGGAGCGCCGUGUAAUCUUGUUGAGCCAGUAGGUCACAGGAAUAAGAGGAAACGUGUGUGAAUCACAGGAGAGAGCGGAUGUUGGAUGGAUCUGUGAAAUGCUCUCUGUUGUACUAUCAGCUGACUGAUGGCUGUGAUUCUCAGAAGGACUCCAACAUUAUGCCUCCUAAAAGCUGGAGAUUAAUGCGACCAUGGUGAACCACACAGCGACACUCUGGCAAAGAAAAAGGGUCAGGACUGGCAAGAUGUGGCAGGUGUCAAAAUAAAAGGUUAGGCUCUGUGCCUGGGGACCCAUCUGUCAGAUAAAACUAUGAUAAGGCAAUUAAUGUAUUUGUUUAUGUUGCUCAUGUCACACCCUGCAUAUUCCAUAAAAAUGAUCAGUUUAAACACUCUGAACUGCUUUUUGGAAAUGAGACCAUAUGUAAAAAGAAAAUACUCAAGAUUAAAAAAGAAGUUUUAUUAGUUAAAUGGAGAGUUUACACAGCCAAAUCAAGUUAACUUGAUGUACUUCUUGUUGUCUUUACUAAAGCACUAAAGCUAUUAACUAUAACAUCUUCAUAAUGUAGAGUUUAUAUUAGAGACAUUUGAAGCGGAUGUUUAUGCUGCAAUAUAAUUGGUAUAUCACUUCAGAACUUCACCAUGCUUUACAUCCAUAAUACUAGAUUCUAAGUUUGGAAUAAAAUACAUCCCAGAGAAUGUAUGAGGAACUGAGAACUUCCAACCAUAAGCUAUGUAUCCUGCAUUUUCUUCAAAUGUUUUGUUCACAACGUUGUCAUUAUUAGGGCUUUCGUUCUCACUCUGUGAGUAAUCCUGACUCCUCUCAUUGUAUUUAUUAUUUAUUUAGCUUUCUCAUGACAUCUGCUUUACAAUCUGUUUAAACUAGAACAUAUUUAGGUUUAAUAUUCAUCAGUGAUGUAUUUCUUGCAGACAAACUAAAUUAUCAUAUGCUUUAAAAUGCCUUAUUAUUUUCCAGGUCAAAAAAUGUAAAAUAAUUUACCCAGAAUUAUGAAAAAAAUAAGAUUUUUUUUUCCCAGCUCAAAAUUUCAGGUAAAGAAAGGAUUUUCUCAUUACUUUCUACUAACGUAGUUUUUAAAAAAAGCUCCCAGUUAUUGUUUUAAUGCAUUGCUCUUACAAUAAUGUUACAUUUUAAAGAGAAGAAACUGGUUCACCAACUGCAUAAUGUGCUAUGCAGAAGGAAGAGUCAAGGCCUUUAAUUUCUGAGGAAAAGCCAGAUAUGACCAUUGUGUUCUCAAGCUGCACUUUCUGACAGAGUGAUGGUGUUAGCAUUCAUUGUGACAACAGAAAGAAGCAUUUGAAAAAUAGAGCUCCCAUGUUCAAUGGAUUUAUUUUCAUUUUGUUGAGACAGGAUUUACCCUACUACUUCCCAUCUAUUAGAAGGGUUUUGGUUAAACUUUAAGUCAAUGAUUUUUUUUUCCACUAGGACAAUUUCCCAGCCCAAAGCAUGUCACAAUCUUAAAUUUUCUUCCAUCUCUAACAGAAGCAUGGCUUCAGUGGAGCAAUAGGGAUAUUAUGGUGGAUGGCGAGGAAGUAAAGGUCAGUGGAGAUUCAAGACACAGAUUUUAUUAUAGGGUUCUUCCUGAGGUCUGAUGCAUGACUUACAAAUUAUGUUUGCAGUCUGACUACAACUAACUACUAUUUAAAAUUGAAUUCACUCUUGCGUGCAUUUCCUGGCUCAGAGGUUUAUACUGUUGCUUUAAUUUUAUUUGAAUUUCAGUCUUCUGAAUUAGCUCUGUUUCCUAUCUCUUUAUCUUCAUUUGCCUGGAUGUAGUUGAAAAUACACGAGGGCAAAAUAAAAUUCUUAGUCACCAUUCUGUAUGACUCUUCAAAAUUCUAAGAUGUGUAACAUUACCAAGCUGUGAUCGAUUCAGCUAACUGGCUACUUUCUCUGUACCAUAGAGUAAAAGGAAUAAUCUCAACAGAAAGUUGGGAUCUCACUCAUUUUUCACAGAUCCAUUAACAGAUCCAUCAAACAGAAGAAGUGUGAAAGAGCAAUUUUGCUGGAUAUCCACUUAUUUCAGUCCAGCCAUGUGAAGAUAUUAUGAGAACUCCGGUGGGGUGGUUGACCCCUCUUUGCCCUGGGACUGUGCAAACCUGCCUCUGUUUUAACCAUAGAAAAUCUACUUCAAAUUGACUAGCAUGUUCCCACCUGCAUCAGAUGCUCCGUUUCCUUAGCUUCACAUGCUUCUGGACCACAUCUGUCCCAGGCAUCACUUUUCUGGCCAGACACUUGUCUCUGUUUUGCUGUAGUUUGUGGCUUUAGGAAUUUAUUUUAAUACAUUGAGCAUUUGUCCCAUAUUAGGUGCUUUGGGAGGCCAGAAGAGGGCGUCAGAUCACCCUGGAGCUUGAGUUAUGCAUGGAUAUGAGCUGCCCAACUUUGUAAUUCAGCAGACCAGCGACUGGGAAGAACUCUUCAUUUUCCACCCUGGGAAGUAGUAGCUUUCCAGAUAUUGUCCCUCUUAGAAGCAAAGAGAAGUUUACUUGUUUUAACUGUUUAUAAUUAUGCACUACUGAUUGUUUUGAAUGGCUUCUUCUACAACAUAUGUAUCUUUAAUUAUUAUCCAUUUUGGUGAAAAUAAACUCUAGUUUAUUUUCAGAAUUUAUAAUAAUACACUUCAUUAUUAAAUUUCUGCAGUUGACUCCCUCCUUCUAUUAUCUAUGAAAAUUUGCUCUCCCACACUUCCCCAGUUUUUGGUUAAAAUGAAUACUAUUGUUAUAAUAAUUAAUUCAUGUGUAUAUACAUGCAUAUGAGUACAUGUAUUAAUUUCUGCUGAAUAUGUACUGAAUGCUAUUAUUCAUGUGUUGCUUUAAUAAACCUGUUCAACUUUUCUCUAAA